rnacentral:rRNA from 1 species
CCUACGGGAGGCUGCAGUGAGGAAUAUUGGUCAAUGGCCGGAAGGCUGAACCAGCCAUGCCGCGUGAAGGUCAGUGCCCUAUGGGCGUUAAACUUCUUUUGUGCGGGAGCAAUAAUGGUCACGUGUGGCCAGACGACAGUACCGUACUAAUAAGCAUCGGCUAACACCGUGCAAGCAGCCGCGGUAAUACGGGGGAUGCAAGCGUUAUCCGGAUUUAUUGGGUUUAAAGGGUGCGUAGGCGGGGAGGUAAGUCAGCGGUGAAAUGCCCCCGCGCAACGGGGUGAAGUGCCAUUGAUACUGCCUUGCUGGAAUGCGGAUGCCGUGGGAGGAAUGUGUGGUGUAGCGGUGAAAUGCAUAGAUAUCACACAGAACACCGAUUGCGAAGGCAUCUCACGAAUCCGCGAUUGACGCUGAUGCACGAAAGCGUGGGUAUCAAACAGGAUUAGAUACCCCGGUAGUC